UGGGGAAUUUUGGACAAUGGGCGAAGCCUGAUCCAGCAAUGCCGCGUGUGUGAAGAAGGCCUUCGGGUUGUAAAGCACUUUUGUCCGGAAAGAAAUCCUUGGCUCUAAUACAGUCGGGGGAUACGGUACCGGAAGAAUAAGCACCGGCUAACUACGUGCCAGCAGCCGCGGUAAUACGUAGGGUGCAAGCGUUAAUCGGAAUUACUGGGCGUAAAGCGUGCGCAGGCGGUUUGCUAAGACCGAUGUGAAAUCCCCGGGCUCAACCUGGGGAACUGCAUUGGGUGACUGGCAGGCUAGAGUAUGGCAGAGGGGGGUAGAAUUCCACGUGUAGCAGUGAAAUGCGUAGAGAUGUGGAGGAAUACCGAUGGCGAAGGCAGCCCCCUGGG
rnacentral:rRNA from 1 species